rfam:Myotis brandtii contig110966, whole genome shotgun sequence.
GCCCAGCUGGCUCAGAUGGUUGGAGCAUUGUAUGCACCAAAAGGUUGUGGGUUCAAUUCCUAUUCAGGGCA